rnacentral:lncRNA from 1 species
UUAGUGCAGCUUCCAUGUGGGAUUCUUUAGGAGCAUGCAUAUACUGACUUAACACUUGUACUGCAAACGAAAUAUCCACCCUGGUCAUUGUUAGGUAUAGUAAUCUACCUACAAGUCUUUGAUAUCUGCCAAUAUCUAGCAAAGGUUUGUCCUUAGCUGUAGUAUCUGUAUCUUGUACAUGUGAAUCAUACUCAAUAGAUGUUAAUCGUAUAUUAGGAUCCAGUGGUGUAUGGACUGGUUUGGCACCACUUAAUCCCAUUUCUGAGAUAAGUUCCAAAGCAUACUUGCGCUGGCUCAUGAUAUAUCCCUCCUUAGUUCUGGCAAAUUCAAUUCCAAGAAAGAACUUCAAUUCUCCUAGAUCCUUUGAGAUUCAACAAUGGUGAAACAAGGUUAUGGAAUCACUGAUGAACUAGAGAGAAAACUGUAACUUUUAUUCAUGAAAAGUGAAUGUAUCUGUACACAAUAUUGGCACUAUGCUAUUUAUAGUGUGUCUACUCAUAACCUCCUAAUCUAGUUAAUCUAACUCAACCAGAGUUAACUUUAACUAACAUUGUAACAAACUCUAUAACUAACUUUCCAGUUUCACUAUUCAUAAUAACUGACUUCUAGCUUCAACUUGUUUAUAACAUCCCUCCUCAAGCUGGUGGCUGAUAUAUGUCUUUAAAUCCCAACUUGGACAUUAGAUACAAGUGUGAAGCUUUCCAUAGACCCUUUGUAAGUAAGUCUGCUAGCUGCUCUUUUGUGGAUACAUGGUGAGUUUUUAUCAUUCCGUUAAGCAGCUUCUCUCUAACAAAAUAACAGUCAAUAUCAAAGUGUUUAGUUCUCUCGUGAAAAAUAAGAUUGGAUGCAAUUUGUAUUGCAGCCUUGCUGACACAAAAUAGAUCAACUGGCUGCUUAAUUUUCACUCCUAGUUCACUAUAUAAGCCAAUGAGCCAAGUAAUCUCAGCUACUGAAGAUGCCAUACUUCUAAACUCUGCUUCUGCAGAACUUCUUGCUACAGUCUCUUGUUUCUUUGACUUCCAGGAUACAAGAGCGUCACCAAACCUCACUAAGUAUCCAGUAACUGACCUCUUUGUUUGCAAACAGGUACCCCAGUCUGAGUCACAGUAGACUGUUAACAACUCUGAACUCUGUGAAGGCAUGAACAGGCCCAAUCCAGGUGAUGACUUUAUAUACUUGACUACCCUUAGUGCAGCUUCCAUGUGGGAUUCUUUAGGAGCAUGCAUAUACUGACUUAACACUUGUACUGCAAACGAAAUAUCCACUCUGGUCAUUGUUAGGUAUAGUAAUCUACCUACAAGUCUUUGAUAUCUGCCAAUAUCUAGCAAAGGUUUGUCCUUAGCUGUAGUAUCUGUAUCUUGUACAUGUGAAUCAUACUCAAUAGAUGUUAAUCGUAUAUUAGGAUCCAGUGGUGUAUGGACUGGUUUAGCACCACUUAAUCCUAUUUCUGAGAUAAGUUCCAAAGCAUAUUUGCGCUGGCUCAUGAUAUAUCCCUCCUUAGUUCUGGCAAAUUCAAUACCAAGAAAGAACUUCAAUUCUCCUAUAUCCUUCAUCUUGAACCUGAGUUUAAGAUCAUUUCUGGUCUUAACUAUCAACUUGCUGCAGCUCCCAGCCACUAACAGAUCAUCUACAUAUACAAGGACCACUAUUAACUCAUUUCCCUCUCUUCUAGUGAAUAGGGAAUAAUCAUAGUGACUCUGAAUAAAUCCCAGUUAUAGUAAUGUUUCAGUCAAUUUAAGGUUCCAUUGUCUAGGUGCCUGUUUCAAUCCAUAAAGUGACUUAUGCAAUUUGCAGACUUUGCCAGACUCCCCCUGUUUGCAAAAACCAUGAGGAAUAACCAUAUAAACAUCCUCAAUAAGAUCACCUUGAAGAAAGGCAUUGUGGACAUCCAUUUGGAAAACAGGCCAUUGCUUAGCAGCUGCUAUAGCCAGAACAGACCUCACUGUAACCAUCUUGGCUACAGGGGAAAAAGUAUCGGAGUAGUCCAACCCUUCCUGCUGGUGAAAACCCUUAGCAACUAACCUGGCCUUGUACCGCUCAAUAGCCCCUGAAGCCAAUUACUUCACUUUAUAAACCCACUUGCAUCCAAUGAGAUGUUUGCCUGGAGGUAAAUCAGUGAUACUCCAUGUAGUGUUCUCUUCUAAAGCAGUGAUCUCAACAAGCAUAACUUGAACCCAUAAAAGAUCAAGAGAAGCUUCAUGAAAGGACGUAGGUUCUGAAAUACUAGAAUAGGCUGCUAAGGCAGCACCAUACUUAGCAGACAGACAAUGAUAGCUGACAUGAUUGGAUAAAGGGUAGAGACAAGAGGAUUUGGGUUUGGAAAGAAGAAAGUCAUGAUGCCAGAUAGGAGGUCUAGAUGGUCUAGAGGAUCUUCUGAGAGAUAGGGUGGUAUAAGGUAGAACAACUGUAGGAACAACCUCAGAAGAAGUAGAACUAGGAGACACUGGGUGUGAUGGACAAUCAGGAGAAGAAGCAAGAGGUGUAUGUGAUGAACAAUCAGGAGGAGCAGCUGUAGGUGGAUACUCAACUGGAGAAGAAGAAUUAAUAGAAGUUGAAGUAAGCUGAACAAUUGGAAACAAUGGAGAGCAAGCUGAGGUGUUGUGCUGGAAAGAAAAAACUUCCUCGUGGAAGACUACAUCCCUGCUGACUAAGAACUCUUUAGUGUGCAAGGAGAAGAGUUUGUAACCCUUUUAGAGAGUAGAGUAACCAAGAAAAACAGUAGGAAAUGCUCUAGGUGCAAAUUUGUCAGUUUUCCUCACUUCAGAAGCAAAAGCCAGACAACCAAAGACUCUGAGUGAGAGAAGGAGAGGUGUGAUACAAUAAGUCAUAAUGAGUCUUUCCCUGAAGGACAGCAGAAGGUAACAUGUUGAUUAAGUAGACACUAGUGGUAACACACUCACCCCAGAACCUAAGAGGCAUAUGAGACUGAAACCUUAAUGACAUAGCAACAUCAAGGAUAUGUCUAUGUUUCCUCUCUACAACACCAUUUUGUUGAGGUGUGUAGAUGCAGGAACUUUGGUGCAGGAUGCCGAGGGAUUGGAGUAACUCAUUCAUUUGUGAAUUAAAGAAUUCACACCCAUUGUCAGACCUCAGAAUCUUUACUGAUGCACUAAACACAUUGCCAAUCAUUAACAAGAACUUUCUUAAGGCUACUAUGACCUUAGAUUUAGAGUUCAGUAAUAUCAACCAUGUGUAUCUGGAGUAAUCAUCAACCAAAGUUAAAAAAUACCUUUUACCAUCAUGAGUUGGAACUCUAUAAGGACCCCAAACAUCAGUAUGUAAUGUGUGAAAACAAGUAGUAGUAGUAGUAUUACUCAAAGGGAAAAACAGUCUAGAUUGUUUAGCCAAAUGGCACACAGUACAAAGAUCAUCUGUAGUAGAAUGAAGAUGUUUGAAACAACCUAACUUUUUUAGAGUAGUAAAAGGUACAUGACCAAGUCUUUUAUGCCAUACUGACAAAUUUUAUUCUAGAAGGACAUGCGAAAAGCUACAGAACAAGACGUAAAGACUGGAGUGACUUGAUCAUGAUGUGAGACUGCAUGUAGUUGAGAUCCUUAUGACUGCAACUGACAGUCAGUAGUGAGCACAUACAUGUCAUUCUCCAACUUGCCAAUCCCCCUCACUCUCCCAUUGAAGAGGUCCUAAAAAAUGCAAAAGUCAGGGUUGAACAGAACAGUACAGUUCAAUUCCUUUGUGAGUUUAGACACAGAAAGUAAGUUAUACUGAAACUUAGGAAUAUGCAGGACAUUCGUAAUCUCAAUUCCUCCUAGAAUUUGAGAUGAUCCAAUGUGACUGACUGUGGCAAGUUUACCAGUAGGUAGAUACACUCUUCCCUCUUGUGAAGGAGUUAAUGGUUUGUAAUGAGAUAACAUGUGCAGAUUACGAACCAUGUGUUUGGAGGCACCAGAAUCAACUAUCCACUUAUCAGUAGAGGAUAUACAUGUGGUUCUCAGAGUUGAAUCUGUGUCAUUACAUAUCCUCUUCUUACCCUUCCAGUCAGAGGGAUAUACAUGAAGCUUAUAGCAACGAUCUUUUGUAUGGCCUUUCCAGUUACAAUAAUCACAGUACAGGUGACUAUUGGAGUUGUUCUUAGAUCUGAAGUUGGAGACACCAGCACUUGAUCCACUGGAACUAGAGAAGUUGUGAUUUGGAUUGUUGCCACUGAAGAAUGCUAGAGCUUCAUUCAUGUGCCUAGUGUUAGAGGAAGCAUCACCAACAGAAGCUGAAUUAGCCUUGCCAAGUAUCCUCUGACUUUCUUCUGCAAUCACUAGAGAAUAAGCCUUGUUAACACUUGGAGCUGGAUCUAUCAUCAUAAUCUGGCUCCUACACUGGUUGUAGGAUUCAUUCAAACCCAGAAGAAAUUGCAUUAAACGUUGGUGUUACGACUUGAUUUCGAAAACUAAGGUUUCGGAACCAAUUUCGCAAUUUUUGGCAAUUUUUGUUAAGUUUUGGAAAAAUUUAUAAUUUGGAAGUCGCCACUUAUUUUUUUAGGAAAAAUUAAGAAAACCGUUUAAAGAGAAUUUUUUUUUGAAAGGAAAUAUUUUAAAUAAAACCAGAGUCAGGUAAGGGUUCAAAUAAUUCUCUAAGGAAGGGGUUAGGCAUUUUAGAGAAUCCGCUAACACGCGGUUGACCGACAGAUUUAAAAGUUUGGCUAAUUUUAAAUGAAAACUUAAAUUACUCAUAAAAAAUCUUUGUGAGAAUAAAUAGAGACUAAUUUAUACUUAACAAAUAAUGAAAUAUAUAAAAAAAAA